rnacentral:rRNA from 1 species
GGAGACAGGUGCUGCAUGGCUGUCGUCAGCUCGUGUCGUGGGAUGUUGGGUUAAGUCCCGCAACGAGCGCAACCCCCGUCUUUAGUUGCUACCAUUUAGUUGAGCACUCUAAAGAGACUGCCGGUGAUAAGCCGCGAGGAAGGUGGGGAUGACGUCAAGUCCUCAUGGCCCUUACGGGCUGGGCUACACACGUGCUACAAUGGCGGUGACAGGGGGACGCAAAGACGCAAGUCUUCGCAAAUCUCAAAAAGCCGUCUCAGUUCGGAUUGGGCUCUGCAACUCGAGCCCAUGAAGUUGGAAUCGCUAGUAAUCGCGGAUCAGCAUGCCGCGGUGAAUACGUUCCCGGGCCUUGUACACACCGCCCGUCACACCAUGGGAGUUGGCUUUACCUGAAGGCGGUGCGCUAACCAGCAAUGGGGGCAGCCGAC